UACGGGGGGGGCAAGCGUUGUUCGGAAUUACUGGGCGUAAAGGGCUCGUAGGCGGCCAACUAAGUCGGACGUGAAAUCCCCAGGCUCAACCUGGGAACUGCGUCCGAUACUGGAUGGCUUGAAUCCGGGAGAGGGAUGCAGAAUUCCAGGUGUAGCGGUGAAAUGCGUAGAUAUCUGGAGGAAUACCGGUGGCGAAGGCGGCAUCCUGGACCGGCAUUGACGCUGAGGGAGCGAAA
rnacentral:rRNA from 1 species